rnacentral:rRNA from 1 species
GACGAACGCUGGCGGCGUGCUUAACACAUGCAAGUCGAACGGAAAGGCCCUGCUUUUGUGGGGUGCUCGAGUGGCGAACGGGUGAGUAACACGUGAGUAACCUGCCCUUGACUUUGGGAUAACUUCAGGAAACUGGGGCUAAUACCGGAUAGGAGCUCCUGCUGCAUGGUGGGGGUUGGAAAGUUUCGGCGGUUGGGGAUGGACUCGCGGCUUAUCAGCUUGUUGGUGGGGUAGUGGCUUACCAAGGCUUUGACGGGUAGCCGGCCUGAGAGGGUGACCGGGCACAUUGGGACUGAGAGACGGCUCAGAGGCGUACGGGAGGCAGCAGGGGGGAAUCUGGAGCAAUGGGCGGAAGCCUGAUGCAGCAACGCCGCGUGCGGGAUGACGGGCUUCGGGUUGUAAACAGCUUUCGCCUGUGACGAAGCGUGAGUGACGGUAAUGGGUAAAGAAGCACCGGCUAACUACGUG